GUUAGGAUUUAGGAGAUGAGGAGAGGAAGCCAUUUUAAACAUUUGAGGUAAUAUCCCAGGCUUGCUCCUCUGUGAUUUAAACCUCUGAGGAAUUAGACUACCUUAGGAAAGCUAUUUAAAUUGUUAAAUCUUUUUCAACCUUUAUUUAACUAGGCAAGUCAGUUAAGAACAAAUUCUUAUUUACAAUGACGGCCUACACUGGCCAAACCCGGACAACACUGGGCCAAUUGUGUGCCGCCCUAUGGGACUCCCAAUCACGGCUGUGAUACAGCCUGGAUUUGAACCAGGGUGUCUGUAGUGACGCCUCUUGCACUGAGAUGCAGUGCCUUCGACCAAUGCGCCACUCAUGAGCACAGCCAACCUCAGCCAUUCUGAGGACUAGUUUAAAAUACUGAAAGUCUGGCAGGCAGUGUAAAGCUUAGUGUACCACCUGCCUCGGAAGAUUGAGUCUUAGUUUUAGCGCCAUUGUGUCUCACAGACUUGGCCUAUGCUAAAACCGAUGACACUCUGAGAAAAGAGAGUGAAAGAGAAAGAUAGAGAAAUAGAAUGCGAAAGACAAGGGAAGGAGGAUGGGUAGACGUAUGUACAGAGUGAGUGAGUUUGUGAGAGAGGGAGAGAGAUAGAGGGAGAAAGAAAAAUAGACACAGUGCGAAAGACAGAGGGAGAGAGAGAGAGAGAAAGAGAGAGAGAGAGAGAGAGAGAGAGAGAGAGAGAGGAGGGUGCAGAUAACAGGAGUGAGAAAACCUCCUCACCAGUAAAGAUGAUGUCAGUCUGCAGCUGAGCCCACAGUCCCCGACACCGAGCUGAACACUCCUGCCCCAGUCUGAAACACAGACAGAGAGAGAAGGAGAAAGGGAGAGAGAAGGAGAGGAGAGAACGGGAUAGACUGAAUGAAUGGAAUCAAGCAGUUGCUGACCAGAAGCAAUGGAGGACACCUGUAGAUGCCGAAUGAGUCCAAUCAAUCUAAAGACAUCAUUAAGGUUGCUGGGUCAUUCCGUGGAUGACGUGAGGAGGACAGAGAACCCCCCCCUUCCACCCCAGCCCCGCCCCCUGUGUCUCUAUCUGCCGCUGUGUCCUAUGGCUUUUUAUUCCUAUAUGAUGUCAGAUUGGGCUUAUGUAGGGAUAGAAGCCACUUAACACACGGUGAAAGAGCUUCAUGAAGGCAGCACGGGGAGAGAAAAAAAACUGGAAUUGUACCAGUCCUAGUUGGCUUGCUUUACAAUGUCCCAUAUGCCUGGUACAUAUGGUUUGAUGAAUGUUUCCUGCUUCUGGUUUCAUGUUCCCUGUAGUAAGGCUACAUUUGUGCUCUUCCUUCAGAUAAUGAGCUAGCAGCUCAUUGAAGUGUUCAGAGAAGAGUGAGUCAGAUGCUGUUAUGGUUGUCGGUGCACCUCUUUUUGCUUCCAGGCACAAACGGCCUUCACCGUUUUUCAAUUUAUGAUGCUGUGGUGACAGCGGGCGUCUGCAGGGACGGAUGUUGGAACAUUUGCAAAAGAUGCCAUAAACAAAAGGAAGAAACAAGCGCGGAGAAACCAAUGCAUAUUUUUAAUAACCAACUUUAAGAGGCACUAAGUGAACCACUUUACAAUACAAGAGGCAUUGCAUUUCCAUGUAUUUUCUCUCUCGCUCUCGCUCUCUCUCUCUGAUUCUGUUGCACAUUAUUAAAAUAAAACUUUGACAUUGAGCAUUGCACCAGAAAAUCAUCUACCUACAAUAUAAUACAAUGUAAGAUACAUAUAAACAAGAUAAAGCACCUUUUUUGUCUUAGUAAAUAAUAUUCAUAAUUAAACAGUUGGAGGACAGACAUGGAGGACUGAGUGUGUGUUUUGUGUGUGGUAAUAUCAGUGCAUGGGAGAAUCUCCUAAAACAGGUCUCAGGACUGUGAAUUGUCCCUGGAUGCACCUGAGUUUGUACAGAUGCAAGCUUUCCUAAUUUUCUUUCCUAAGGACGUACAGAUGAAUAUUUUACUACAGGAGGUUUUACACAGUCUUUUUUUACAAUUUUUUUAAAGAAACUACAGAGAACCAGCACAAACGGUUGGAUGAAUGCAACUGCUACAGAUCUCAUGUUCCCUUCAGUUAGAGGACAUUGGUGUUCACAUUACAAUAAAGAAUAACAUAGCACCAGUUAAUGUUUAUACAAAAGCUAAUAUAAUGAAUGUCAAUGAAGUACAGUAAGGUAAAAAUACAAAUAGAGUAAUUUUUGGAGAAGCAUAUACAAAAGGUGCAAGGUCAUUUGGUCCUGUUGCAUUAAAAAAAGCAAUAUUCUCUAUGAACACUUUUUGAUUGUGAAACUGACAUGCAUUAGCUGUAAAAAAAAAAUAUAUAUAUAUAUAUUUUCAAGUAUUCUUUUUGUAUUUUUUUAAUGAAAUAUAGUCUCUGAAAAAGAUAAUGUUCAACCUAGGAAUAGCAGGAAUUAGUCAAUGAUUUGCCCUACUAGCAUUUUCAUUCUAGAUUAAUAAAAUAAUCUCUGCCAUUAUUCCUCACAUUUGUGUAAUAACACAUUUACAAGAGAAGAAGAAAUAAAGUGACAACAUAAGUAUUUAGACAAACAUUUCACAGAGAGCCAUGCAAUCUCAUUCAUGGUCAUGAAUUGUCUUGAUCAUCAAUAACGUGAACAACUAUUCAGUCUCUUUGUUUUCUAU
rnacentral:lncRNA from 8 species